rnacentral:lncRNA from 1 species
CCAAGAUCUCCUCUUCUCCCGGCAGCUGAGCGCGGGGGGGCCGAGAGAUCGAGAUCCGGAGGAGGCGCGGAACCUCGCGGCGGCACCAGCAGCAAUGGCGGGCACGGUGACGGUCCCCGGGGCGAACGUCCCCUCCACGCCGCUGCUCAAGGACGAGCUCGACAUCGUGAUCCCGACGAUCCGCAACCUCGACUUCCUGGAGAUGUGGCGGCCCUUCUUCCAGCCGUACCACCUCAUCAUCGUGCAGGACGGCGACCCGGCCAAGACCAUCAAGGUGCCGGAGGGCUUCGACUACGAGCUCUACAACCGCAACGACAUCAACCGCAUCCUCGGCCCCAAGGCCUCCUGCAUCUCCUUCAAGGACUCCGCAUGCCGCUGCUUCGG